AAAGUCCUGACGUUCAGGAGAUGGCUGAGAUUACAAAACAUAUGGCAGAAUGUUAAUAUAGAGAAGACAAUGCUUUCCAGGAGAUGUGAUCAGUGACUAUAACUGGAAUAAAGGUCCCUGUUCAUCCUGCCACCUGUCAAUGGAGGGCAGGAGGGCAUCCUGCCAUCACUAAGUCUUCCCUACUGGGGGGCAGAAAGGAGGCUCUGCCAUGGAAACCAGGACAUGGAGAAGCUGUAUUAGGUACCCACGAUGGGAUGUUG
ensembl:lncRNA novel transcript, antisense to CADPS2